rnacentral:lncRNA from 1 species
AACAUAGUAUAGUAAAUAAAGCAAACGCUACUUUCUUAAUUCACAUGCCAAAAAAGAAAAAAAAAGUAUUUUAGUUAUUUUCGUUCUUCUCAAAUUUCAAAAAAUUCACAUGCCAAUAUUCACAACUUCUCCACCAAUCAAAUUCUAAGUUUCACACUUUUUAUUUCACAACUCUCCUCGUUUUAGCAUGUCCAUCUCGUUCCAUCGAUUAAAUACCAUCACCAAGACACAGGAACCAACAACCUUGGUUGCUUCAUUGUUCCCUUGCAAUGAGAAGUUUUGAAAUGAACAAUGACCAAGUGAGCAAAAAAUGCACAUGCAGCAACAAUGACAUCUUAGCUGCAGUCAAUUCUAUAAAAUUUGGAAAAAUCAACCUAGCUCUUGUUACUUGUCUUUCACAUAGCAGUUUCCUAACAUCAUACCGAAUAUUCCUUUCUUUUUAUUUCAUACUACAUACAUAUGACAAAUUUAAUUAUGUUGCAUCUGUAAAAAUUGUAUGAGCCUUGCACUCCAACCAGGCAUAGCAACAAAAAUGUAUCAUUGAUUUUCGUAUGUACCAACCUCUGCUUCAGCCUGCCAAAUAAAUAGGGGUCACAAUAGCCAGAAUACGUUACACAAAUCCCAAGUCUCUAUUACCUGGGCAAAAUAAUCAUAAUUGAAACAUUGUAACAUGAAUAUAUAAUGAAUAACAAUGCAAAUCUAAUGAUUUUCUAAUACAAUCACAAUACUACUAUAAUUCAUAUAGAGUGCAGAUGUUGUGUGAAUGUAAUUUUCUUAAACAAAAAUUACAAUUCCAUAGCUAUAUAUUUAAUGCAGCAAUCACCAUAAAAGGUCUUAUGAGUAUCAAUUUAAGGGAUUCAAAUAAAUUCACAUUUCCUACGCUAUUACCAUUUGAUUCUCACCAUAAGAUUUCAAGAUUCAAAGCAAGCUACUACAACGGAAAAGGGGCAACCAAAGAUCCAAAAACUGCAUCCUGGGUUUUAAAAAGCCCGAGGCGCACGAGGCGCAAACAUGCCUCGGAGCCUAGGCGCAGGGCUUUAAGCGCAGGCGCGGGCUUUUCGUAGGCGAGGCGCAGUAAAGCCUAAAAAAUUCUAAUAUAUUUACCUACAUUAUAUUUUAUACCAAAAACACAACUUAAAACCACAAAUAGUACUUAAACACACAUAU